AACGUGGGUAACCUGCCCAUCAGAAGGGGAUAACACUUGGAAACAGGUGCUAAUACCGUAUAACACUAUUUUCCGCAUGGAAGAAAGUUGAAAGGCGCUUUUGCGUCACUGAUGGAUGGACCCGCGGUGCAUUAGCUAGUUGGUGAGGUAACGGCUCACCAAGGCAACGAUGCAUAGCCGACCUGAGAGGGUGAUCGGCCACACUGGGACUGAGACACGGCCCAG
rnacentral:rRNA from 1 species